UACGUAGGGUGCGAGCGUUGUCCGGAAUUAUUGGGCGUAAAGAGCUCGUAGGCGGUCUGUCGCGUCUGCUGUGAAAACUCGGGGCUUAACCCCGGGCCUGCAGUGGGUACGGGCAGACUAGAGUGCGGUAGGGGAGACUGGAAUUCCUGGUGUAGCGGUGAAAUGCGCAGAUAUCAGGAGGAACACCGGUGGCGAAGGCGGGACUCUGGGCCGAUACUGACGCUGAGGAGCGAAAGCGUGGGGAGCAAACAGG
rnacentral:rRNA from 1 species